rnacentral:rRNA from 1 species
UAAUACAGAGGGUGCGAGCGUUGUCCGGAAUCACUGGGCGUAAAGGGCGCGUAGGCGGUCUGGUAAGCGUGUGGUGAAAGCUCGGGGCUCAACCCCGAGUCGGCCGUGCGAACUGCGAGACUGGAGCAGAUCAGAGGCAGGCGGAAUUCCGGGUGUAGCGGUGGAAUGCGUAGAGAUCCGGAAGAACACCGGUGGCGAAGGCGGCCUGCUGGGAUCUUGCUGACGCUGAGGCGCGACAGCGUGGGGAGCAAACAGGAUUAGAUACCCUGGUAGUCCACGCCGUAAACGAUGGGCACUAGGUGCUUGGGGGAGCGACCCCCUGAGUGCCGGCGCUAACGCAUUAAGUGCCCCGCCUGGGGAGUACGGCCGCAAGGCUG